GCCGCUUUAGCUCAGUGGUAGAGCAGGCGCUUCGUAAGCGUCAGGUCGUCUGUUCAAAUCAGACAAGCGGCACCA
rnacentral:tRNA from 1 species